rnacentral:rRNA from 1 species
UACGGAGGGUGCAAGCGUUAUUCGGAAUUACUGGGCGUAAAGCGCGUGCAGGCGGCUCGAGAAGUCUGAUGUGAAAGCCCCGGGCUUAACCUGGGAAGUGCAUUGGAAACUCUCGGGCUUGAGUGCUGGAGAGGAAGGGAGAAUUCCCGGUGUAGAGGUGAAAUUCGUAGAGAUCGGGAGGAACACCAGUGGCGAAGGCGCCCUUCUGGACAGCAACUGACGCUGAGACGCGAAAGCGUGGGGAGCAAAC